UGACCUCAGAUCAGGCAAGGCUACCCGCUAAAUUUAAGCAUAUUACUAAGCGGAGGAAAAGAAACUAACAAGGAUUCCCCUAGUAAUGGCGAAUGAAGCGGGAACAGCUCAAAUUUAAAAUCUCCGUUGCUUGCAACGGCGAAUUGUAGUUUCGAGAAGCACUUUCUCGGCGGAUCCGAGGUCGUCCAAGUUGCUUGGAACAGCACGUCGUAGAGGGUGAAAACCCCGUCUGCGGCGACCUCGGUCGUUCACGAUGUGCUUUCGACGAGUCGGGUUGUUUGGGAAUGCAGCCCAAAAUGGGUGGUAAACUCCAUCUAAAGCUAAAUAUUGGCACGAGACCGAUAGCGAACAAGUACCGUGAGGGAAAGAUGAAAAGCACUUUGAAAAGAGAGUUAAAAAGUACGUGAAACCGUUAAAAGGGAAACGAAUGGGGUUAGCAAUGCGUCGUGCGAGAUUCAGCCGGUGGGUGGGCCAGGCGGGCGGUUGGCGGAUCUGAAUGGAC
rfam:Nematostella vectensis strain CH2 x CH6 NEMVEscaffold_4559_Cont48058, whole genome shotgun sequence.